rnacentral:rRNA from 1 species
UAAUGGGUCAGCGACUUAUAUUCUGUAGCAAGGUUAACCGAAUAGGGGAGCCGAAGGGAAACCGAGUCUUAACUGGGCGUUAAGUUGCAGGGUAUAGACCCGAAACCCGGUGAUCUAGCCAUGGGCAGGUUGAAGGUUGGGUAACACUAACUGGAGGACCGAACCGACUAAUGUUGAAAAAUUAGCGGAUGACUUGUGGCUGGGGGUGAAAGGCCAAUCAAACCGGGAGAUAGCUGGUUCUCCCCGAAAGCUAUUUAGGUAGCGCCUCGUGAAUUCAUCUCCGGGGGUAGAGCACUGUUUCGGCAAGGGGGUCAUCCCGACUUACCAACCCGAUGCAAACUGCGAAUACCGGAGAAUGUUAUCACGGGAGACACACGGCGGGUGCUAACGUCCGUCGUGAAGAGGGAAACAACCCAGACCGCCAGCUAAGGUCCCAAAGUCAUGGUUAAGUGGGAAACGAUGUGGGAAGGCCCAGACAGCCAGGAUGUUGGCUUAGAAGCAGCCAUCAUUUAAAGAAAGCGUAAUAGCUCACUGGUCGAGUCGGCCUGCGCGGAAGAUGUAACGGGGCUAAACCAUGCACCGAAGCUGCGGCAGCGACACUAUGUGUUGUUGGGUAGGGGAGCGUUCUGUAAGCCUGUGAAGGUGUGCUGUGAGGCAUGCUGGAGGUAUCAGAAGUGCGAAUGCUGACAUAAGUAACGAUAAAGCGGGUGAAAAGCCCGCUCGCCGGAAGACCAAGGGUUCCUGUCCAACGUUAAUCGGGGCAGGGUGAGUCGACCCCUAAGGCGAGGCCGAAAGGCGUAGUCGAUGGGAAACAGGUUAAUAUUCCUGUACUUGGUGUUACUGCGAAGGGGGGACGGAGAAGGCUAUGUUGGCCGGGCGACGGUUGUCCCGGUUUAAGCGUGUAGGCUGGUUUUCCAGGCAAAUCCGGAAAAUCAAGGCUGAGGCGUGAUGACGAGGCACUACGGUGCUGAAGCAACAAAUGCCCUGCUUCCAGGAAAAGCCUCUAAGCAUCAGGUAACAUCAAAUCGUACCCCAAACCGACACAGGUGGUCAGGUAGAGAAUACCAAGGCGCUUGAGAGAACUCGGGUGAAGGAACUAGGCAAAAUGGUGCCGUAACUUCGGGAGAAGGCACGCUGAUAUGUAGGUGAAGCGACUUGCUCGUGGAGCUGAAAUCAGUCGAAGAUACCAGCUGGCUGCAACUGUUUAUUAAAAACACAGCACUGUGCAAACACGAAAGUGGACGUAUACGGUGUGACGCCUGCCCGGUGC